UCUCCGUAGGUGAACCUGCGGAGGGAUCAUUACAAGUGACCCCGGUCUUACCACCGGGAUGUUCAUAACCCUUUGUUGUCCGACUCUGUUGCCUCCGGGGCGACCCUGCCUUCGGGCGGGGGCUCCGGGUGGACACUUCAAACUCUUGCGUAACUUUGCAGUCUGAGUAAACUUAAUUAACGAAUUAAAACUUUUAACAACGGAUCUCUUGGUUCUG
rnacentral:misc_RNA from 1 species